rnacentral:tRNA from 1 species
AUUAAAGUGGCAGAAUGUUAGUGCGGUAGAGUUAAGUUCUAUUAAUGAAAUAUAUUUCCUUUAAUU